rnacentral:lncRNA from 1 species
GUUAACUACUUCCAAUAAUUAAAACCAAAACCAUAGAACUUCGAAUUACCAAAAGAAAAACCUCGAUGAGUUCCCUAUAUAAGUUACAACAAAUCAUUGUCCAAAACAUUCAGUCGUCACUUUCUUGAACCCAUACAUAAGGAUCAAACACUUCCAUGUAAAAAAUCUACUGAUUAUAUGCUAAAACACAAAUAAAUUUCAAUAUUUAUAGACCCUUGGUACAUUUCAUAACCAAGUCACAUAAACAAAUACACACAUUAAUAUUGAACAGAAAAAGGCUUACCUAGGUUUAUCUUCUUGAAUCUGCUUCUACUUCCUGGACAGUAAACCAAAGGUGACAAAAAAUGAGCUUUAUCGUACUCUCUCUCUCUCGGCUGAAAACUUGCCCCAGGUGGCCAACUUUAUCUACUUGCAAUUUAUUGAUCCAAUUUGGAUAGCCUAGAGUCAAUUUGGACAACUUCUUCCUUUGUGUGUUUGUAAAACAUGUGUUUUGAGUAUACCAAAAUGUUGAGCGGUGAUUAAGAUGAUGAUUCGCCUAAAAAAUAUAGGAAAAGAAGAUGAAGGACGAUUGAGAGGAGGAGAUUGGCGACGGUAGCAACAACCUCAAGUGGUGUGGAGGAUCCAUGUCGUUUUCCUCCUCUUUUCGUUUGAAUGUCAUGCUAGAGAGCUCACAGCAGGGUGUUUGAUUGGUUGUGAAUGGCUGAUCCUUCGUCGGUAUUAGAUUGUGCUGGGGAUGAGGCGGUGGGCAAAUGAUUUGGGCUUGGGGGUGGUUUGGGAGUUUAGAGCGUAUUAAAUGCUUGAUUG